rnacentral:misc_RNA from 1 species
AAAGUCGUAACAAGGUUUCCGUAGGUGAACCUGCGGAAGGAUCAUUAGAGAUUCGUGGCGCGAGCCACAUACACACACACACCGUGAACCGUGGGCCUCGGCCCCAUUACAAACCAUGUCGUAUCAGAACGUGAUCAUAUGUAACAAUGAAAAAACUUUCAACAACGGAUCUCUUGGCUCUC